UCAAGAAAUGAAAUGAAUCUUUUUCUGUUAUCUCUCUCAUUCUCUCAAACUUUCUCCCUCUUUCUUGCUGUUUCACUCCAUAUCCGUCUGAAUUCUCCCUCGAAAUUCCCUCUAAUUCCCAAUUUUUCCUAAACAACCCCUCGUCAAAUCCAAAGAUCUGAUAAUUGGUAACAAAGCAAGGUGAUUCCAGCCUUGUCAACGGCGAUCACAACACUAGGGUAAAGCAAUUUUGGGUGAUUGGGCUUUAUCAUGAUGGCUAUCAAGUUUUGGGGUGUUCAGCUAUUGGAGAUACAAGUAAUAGUCUGCAGAUCAGAUUGGAUCAUUGGUAAUUGGGUUGAUCAAGGCUGACCGAUAGAUUAAGAGGAUGGUUGGCUGGGGGAACUAGAAUGAAACAGUUGGAAACCCGGUUGGAUGCGAUGAAGAUUGGGUUUUGUCAGAAUCAAGAGCAGUUGGAGGAUCAAUUGGAGUCGAUGGAGUUAGGCCUUCGUUAGACUUAGGAAGAGGUGAGUCGUGGCAGGGAAAAAAAUCUUGCCACUCGAAAGGUGAUGCUAUCGUCGGAGAAGAGUGUCCGAGCGGAGGUUGCUAGCGUGUGAGAAGAUGUAGCGAGCCUCAAAGGAGAAUUCGCCAGAAUUGGCCAGCAAUUGAGCACUGUCCAGAGUGUGUUUUCUUGGCUGCCUAAUGCGAGCUUACCGGUGGACUUCCCUCCAAGGUCCACCACAGCUCCGAUCCUGGCGGGAUCAAGAUUCCAACGGCACGCUCCUAAUCCUCUGGAAACAGAGGAGCGAUCAGAAUUUGUACCAGAGACUUCCACCAGAGGAGUGCAUGCAAAUCAGUUUCAUACUCCAAUGCCAAGUACGGAGAUUCUGGCAUUCAAGGGUGACAAACCCAGGGGCGGAUUUAGGGGGGGGCAGGCACGGGCUGCAGCCCCCCCCAAGAUUCAGCCCUCCCCCAGAUUUGCAAGGGAGGAGGGCUGAAAUGGGUUAUGGAUCUGGGGGCCAGCCCUCCCCCAGAUCUACUCCUAGAUCCGCCCCUGGACAAACCACGAUGCUGGAUUGGACGUUAUGAGUGGUUCCUACAACAUUAUCAGGUGGGAGAAGGCCAGAGGGUGAAUCAGGCUGCCACUUACCUUAACGAUGUAGCGGAUGCUUGGUUUCAAGGCUAGAGCAGAAGGAGAAUUGGCAUGAGUUCGUGGAGGCUUUUUGUGCUCAUUGUUCAAUGGGUGCUUACCUUCACUUCUUGUUGUCCAAACUGUUGGAAUUAAUGGGUCUUAAAUAUGUGAAUUGGAAAAGUCUUCAAGACUAGACUCAUACGGGAUGCAGGUGAGUGGACAUGUCCGUCGGGUGAGUGAACAUGUCUAUUUGGAUGUAAAAGGUGUAAGGGAAGAGAUAUAUACCUUUGCCAAAGGGUGCAAUCUGGACCGCCAAGUCGCUACCAAAUAUGAAAGGAUGCGAUCUGAAGACCAAGAUUAAACUGGGUCAAACAACAUGACCUUUCACAAUUGGACACUUGAGAAUGGGUCAAAUAACAUGACCUUUCACACCCCACAUAUUUCAUUUUCUCCAUCCAAAAAUCAAUUCAAGUAAAUUGAUUUCUUUCUUUCCUCCUCCAACCUCUCAGAAAUUGUUACAGUUGCAACAACGCAUUGAACACGGGGAGUUGGGGUCCGAUUGGAUUGUACGCAAUGGGCUGAUUUUUUUUAAGGGCAAGCACUGUAUGGUGUGCCAGCGUUAUAAAUGGCAAAACUUGCAGCCCGCCGGACUACUUCAGCCUCUUAUGGUGCCACAACAGGUUUGGGCUGACAUCUCUAUGGAUUUCGUGGAGGGGUUACCUAAGGUUCGGGGUAAAUCAGUUCUUAUGGUGGUGGUUGAUCGGCUUUCAAAGUAUGCCCAUUUUUUACCCUUAGCUCAUCCAUUAACUGCUAUAUCUGUUGCUACUACUUUCUUUGCAGAAAUGUUUAGACUCCAUGGCUUGCCUGAAUCAAUAGUGUAAUACCCUAAGAGCCCGAAGAAUGGUAGUAUAUAUAGAGGAUAAGUAAGGAAUGAAACAACACCAGCUAGAUAACUUUUGGGCUGAAUAUAGGCAAAGAACUCCUGGAUUAAGCGUGCUUGAGCUGGGGAAGCUCAAGGAUGGGUUACCCCUGGAAAGUUCGUGUAGGCCCAUCAGGGUAAAUUGUUCCGGUGCUUCCUAUCGCUCGAUGCGGGAUGUUACAGGUGGUAUCAGAGCUGACCCUUAGUGAAGGCGAUUCGAUGAGGGUGGGGAGUGGCGCCGAGGCAUGAGGGCCUGUACAAGGAGUGGCUCCUGAUAGGUUUCUAGGAUGGCAGCCCCCAAAGGGGAGAAGAUCUGAGACCAGUUGUAAGGUCGCACGAUGAGAACGUCAUGUGCUCAAGGGGGGGAGAAUGUAAUAUCCUAAGAGUCUAGAGAAUGGUAGUAUAUAUCGAGGAUAAGUAAGGAAGGAAACAACACUAGCUGGAUACCUUUUGGGCUGAAUGUAAACAAAGAACUCUCGGGUUAAGCGUACUUGAGCUGGGGAAGCUCAAGGAUGGGUGACCCCUGGAACGUUCAUGUAAGUUCAUCAGGGUAAGUUGUUCUGGUGCUUCCUAUCGCUCGAUGCGGGAUGUUACAAAUAGUCUUGAACCAAGACAAGGUUUUCCUUAGUUUGGAAGGAGCUAUUUUGCCUUAGUGGUUCCAAAUUGGCCUUCUCUUCAACUUACCAUCCUCAAUUUGAUGGUUAAAUCGAGGUGGUUAAUCGAAUUAUAGAGAUGUACCUACGAUGUCUCACAGGAGAUUGACCGAAACAGUGGGUUGAUUGGAUACCCUGGGCUAAAUAUUGCUACAACACCUCUUAUCACAUUGCUCUUGGCACCACCCCGUUUCAGUUGGUUUAUGGCAGGGAACCUCCUCAGCUUCUUUCUUAUUCAGCGGGUUCUACGAGGGUUAAAGCAGUCGAUCAAGCUCUCCCAGAGCAAGAUGCAGCACUUACAGCUGCUCGUGAUAGGCUUUUGCAAGCCCAACAGAGGAUGAAGAACACUUAUGAUUCUAGGCAUCGAGAGUUGAGUUUUACAGUUGGAGAAUGGGUAUGGUUGCGACUUCAACCAUACUAUCAGCUCACUGUAGCAAGACAGAAGUAUCAUAAACUUUUUCCGAAGUAUUUUGGACCCUUCCAAAUCCUGGCCAAAGUAGGCCCUAUUGCUUACAAGCUUGAGCUUCCAGUGGGCAGUCGAAUACAUGAUGUGUUCCACAUGUCUCUCCUCAAGGAGUAUAAAGGACCUCCACCAACUACGAUGGGCACUUUACCACCAAUACGAGAUGGCAAGGUUUUAGCCACCCCUAAGCUAUUAUUCACAGCAAACUCAAUAGAGGCAACCGGGAGCUGUUAGUACAGUGGGCAGGACACGCUCAUGAGGAUGCGACAUGGGAACCGGUUGACCACUUCCAGGCAGCUUAUCCAGACUUUGAGCUUGAGGACAAGCUCAAGUUCGAGAGGGAAAGUGAUGAUAUGGAUGCUUUUAUUGGAAGGCAUUAUCAAAAAAGGAAAUCAAUAGCAGUGAAUCCAUAGUGAUUGCUUGCCCAUUAAAAGUUUAUUUUUUAUUCCUUUCUUGUUUUAUUUUGAUGGCCAAGAUCCUAAAUCAGAUCCUAAAAUUUAGGAUCUAUUUUUCCUUAGUAAUUAGCAGCCUAUUAUUUAGGAUUUAUCUUUCCAUUGUUAUUGAGCUGCCUAUAUAAAGGGCUUUAUUAUGGAAUAAGAGGGGGAUAUCGAUUCUCUCAAAAGAAAUUAGUUUCUCUUAGGAGGGGGCUCCGUCAAGGACGAGUCUGCCUUCACCAAUUCACCAUAGCUCCAAAAAAAGAUUCUCUCGUGUCUAGACCUGUGACUAGAUCCUACGCCAAGGCUCAUAACACAACACCAACAACUUUAUAAGCAACAUUAUAACACGUAAUGACAUGCCCAUGAUCAAACUCAUGUAAGUUUUCAAACUAGUGUUUAUGAGAUGUGACAUGAAAAGACGCAUCGAAGUCUAGAAUCCACUCAUGCAUAUAGGAGUUCAUAGAUAGGUUAAUUUCAGAGGGUUCAUGGUUCAUCAACGUGUAUACCUCCCUAGUAUCACAUUGGGAAGAUAUAACAUUGGCCUCACUCGUUUCUUUCUCUUUUUGUUUAUUUUUCUCUGCAUAGCAAUCUUUUAUAAAAUGCCCUAGUUUUCCACAACCAUAGCAUUUUUUACCUUUCGCCUUCCCCUAUGACUUAGACCUACUUCUACCCUUUUUCUUGUCACUCUUAUUUUGUCCCUUACCACCCCUAGUUUGAAGCCUUCCCCUCACGAGAUGUAUUUCUCCACCUCUUCUCUCGUUUCUUUUAGCUUUAAUUUCUCUCUCCUUACACUUAAGAGAUUCAACUACAAUAUCUGGGGUAAGGAUCUCCCUCCCAUAUUUAAUAGCAUUCUUGACCUCCUUAUAUAUGUUGGAAAUAGCAUUUAAAACAAUGAUAGCUUUAUAUUCUUUGGUAAUUUUUUCACCACAAUUAGUGAUAUCUUGAACAAGUUUAUUGAAAAUAUCAAGAUUAUUAUCUAUAUCUUUUGAGGGGUCAAUUUUAAAGCUAAAGAAACUUUCAAGUAAGAAGAGUUUGUUAGGAGUGGACUCGGUUUUAUGUAAAGUUGGUAAACAUGAUACUACUCAAAAACUUUGGAAAAAACUAGAGUAACUCUGCGAACCAUUAGGCUUAAUACAUAGCGAUAUAUAUGAUCUAAAAUUUAUUCAAAGCCGAGGCGGUAAAAAAUAUUUUAUCACGUUUAUUAAUGAUCGCACUAGAUAUUGUUAUGUGUAUUUAUUAAGUAGUAAAUAUGAGGCUUUGAACGCUUUUGUCACUUAUAAAAAUGAAGUUGAAAAUCAACUUGGUAGGACAAUUAAGGUUUUGAGAUCCGAUAGAGGUGGAGAAUAUGAUUCAUCAUCAUUUGAUGAAUUAUGUGCUAAGUUUGGGAUUAUUCACCAAACUAUAACUCCAUACUCUCCUCAGCAAAAUGGAGUUGCUGAAAGGAAUAACAAAACUCUUAAAGAUAUGGUUAAUGCUAUGCUUAUUAGUUUUGGAUUACCUCAAAACUUGUGGGGGGAAGCAGUGCUUACAGCUAACUUUAUUUUAAAUAGAGUUCCCCACAAGAAGACUGGAUCAGUACCUUAUAACAUGUGGAAAGGUAAAAAGCCUGCAUACAAAUACUUGAAAGUGUGGGGGUGUCUAGCCAAAGUAGCUAUACCACCUCCCAAAAAGGUCAAAUUAGGUCCUAAAACUAUUGAUUGCAUUUUCAUUGGAUAUGGAAUGAAUAGUAGUGCAUACAGGUUUCUCAUACAUAAAUCUGAUAUAAGUGACAUUCAUGUAAACACCAUUAUUGAAUAUAGAGAUGCCAAAUUCUUUGAAGAUGUGUUCCAUUCUAAAGGAGAUAAUGAUAAUACUCAAAAGAGAACACAUGAAACUACAUUUGAGAAGGAUAAAAAAUCUAAACCUAGAAGGAGCAAAAGAGCCAAAGUAGCUAAAUCUUUUGGUCUAGAUUUUAUGAUAUAUAUGGUUGAGAAUGAGCCUCAAACCUUUACGGAGGCUAUGUCUAGCCCCAAAGCUUCAUUCUAGGAGGAAGUUGUUAAUAGCGAAAUAGAAUCCAUUUUAAGUAAUAAUACAUGGCAAUUGGUUGAUCUUCCUUUUGAAUUAAACUAAUUGGUUAUAAAUAGAUUUUCAAAAAGAAGUUAAAGCCCAAUGGUUCAAUUGAUAAGUUCAAGGCUAGACUUGUUGCCAAAGGAUAUCGUCAAAGAGAAGGUAUUGACUAUUUUGACUCUUAUUCACCGGUAACAAGGAUUACUUCUAUCGGGUUUUAAUUGUUGUUGCAGCCUUGUAUAAUUUGCAUAUACAUCAAAUGGAUAUAAAAACUGCAUUUUUAAAUGGUGAUUUAAAUGACGAAAUAUACAUGGAGCAACCUAAAGGCUUCAAAAUAAAAGGACAAGAACACAAAGUGUGUAAAUUUGUCAAAUCUCUUUAUGGUUUGAAGCAAGCUCGUAAACAAUGGCACAAGAAGUUUGAUAGCGUCAUGAUAAGAAACGAUUUCACCAUAAAUGAAUGUGAUAAAUGUGUCUACUCCAAGAAAUUUGGAGAAGCACAUGUACUUGUUUGUCAUUAUAUAGAUGACAUGCUUAUUCUAGGAACCAAUAUGGAUGUCAUCAACAAGACAAAUAAAAUGCUCACCAACAACUUUGAUAUGAAAGAUAUGGGUGAAGCAAAUGUGAUACUGGGAAUGAAGAUCUCUAGAGCACCUAAUGGGAUAACAUUAUCUCAAAGAUUAUGUUGAUAAAGUGAUUGAGAGGUUCAAGUCCUAUGGAAUUAAAGAGACAAAUAAUCCAUUUCUCCCACAUGUUAUUCUUCACAAGAAUACCGAAAAUGGAGAGUUACAGUUAGAAUAUUCCCAGAUAAUUGGGAGCCUCAUGAACAUAAUGAAUUGUACAAGGCUGGACAUAACUUAUGAAGUGAGUAAGUUAAGUAGAUAUACGAUACGAACAUUGGAGUGCUUUACUUAAGAGUACUAGGUUACUUGAAGAUAACCAAAGAGUAUGCAAUACAUAAUGGAAAAUAUCCUCCAAUCAUUGAAGGAUAUAGUGAUGCAAAUUGGAUUUCAGACAAUGAUGAAUCCAAGUCAACUAGUGGUUAUGUAUUUACUCUUGGUGGUGGUGCUAUAUCUUGGAAAUCUUCUAAGCAAACAUGUAUAGCUCGUUCCACUAUGGAAUCAAAAUUUAUAGCUUUAGAUAAAGUUGGAGAAGAAGCGGAAUGGUUAAGACAUUUCAUAGAAAAUAUUCCAAUAAGGCCAAAAUCAAUGCCCACAAUAUGCAUUCAUUGCGAUAGCCAAGCAGCUAUAGCUAGAGCACAUAAUUUUGUGUAUAACGAUAAAUCAUGACAUAUUCGCCGUAAACAUAAUACCGUUCAAUAGUUGCUCUCUAAUGGAACAAUAUCAGUUGAUUUUGUGAAAUCAAAAGAUAACCUAGCAGAUCCAUUUUCUAAGGGGUUAUCAAAAGAGAGAAUAAACUACGCAUUGAGGGAAAUAGGGUUAAAGCCUAAAGACUAAUGAGUCAUCUUAAUGGAAACCUAACCUGGCGACUAGAGAUCCCACAUACUAGGUUCAAUAGGACAACUAGUUAUGAAUGACUCGAUAAACUAGUUAUGAAUGGCUCGAUAAGAAGCACUUAGAAGUUUAACUCCUCCCCAUUACCAUGAUGCAAAUAAGUGCUUGCCUACAAGGGUGUUAAGGAUAAGAUUUGUUUUUACUGAUGCCUAUAGCUUGUAAAAGUACAAGUGGAGUAUGGUAGGAUACUCUUCAUAGGACAUCACCUAUGUGAGUGUGAACUAGGCUGGUUCUAUGAGAAUUGUCUUAGGUGGAUUCUCUAAAACACUUCCAAAACCCAAGAGAGUUUAGGGCCGAAAUAAUGAACACAAUAGAUAAACCAAGACUUGAUAUGAAGCGUAGUAUGUGAGGUCUAUUGUUUGGGCUUGCAAUAAUGAUUGACAGUUCAAGACUCUAAGUUCACUGAUUAGCCAAGUGAGUUCGAUAGGCUUUCACUAGAGAAGGUUCAAAGCGAAAGCUACCUAUCUCGAUGUAUAUCUUUCAGACAAUACUCUUCUUUGUCUUCCUAGUUUUGUGUCAACUUCUUCUAUUCAUGUGGGGGAUUGUUGGAAUUAAUGGGUCUUAAUUAUGUGAAUUGGAAAAGUCUCCAAGACUAGACAUGAUUGUUCAUACAGGGGACGGGUGAGUGGACAUGUUCGUUCGAGUGAGUGGACAUGUCUAUUUGGAUGUGAAAUGUGCAAGAGAAGAGAUAUGUACCUUCGCUAGAGGGUGUAAUCUGGACUGCCAAGUCGCACCCAAAUAUAAAAGGAUGUGAUUUGAAGAUCAAGAUUAAACUGGGUCAAAUAACAUGACCUUUUACAAUUAGACACUUGGAAACUAUAAAUAUGACCCCCCCAUAUUCCAUUUUCUCCAUCCAAAAAUCAAUUUAAGUAAAUUGAUUUCUUUCUUUCCUCCUCCAAUAUACUUCCUUUCUAUGAACUUCAAUUAUUGUCAAGUGUGUGAGAUUCUAAUCUCUUUCCCCUAGUCAACAAAAAGAGUACUAUCAAGUUUGGUUUCACCCGUCAAGGUUAGUAUAGUGUUGCACUAAUUCUUGAAAAAAAAAUGUUGUAUCUUGGAAGACAUAUGUCCAUUGGUCCUUUAGCACCAUUGAGGGGGCAAAAUCUGUCUUAAGGAGAUUCGUUUCGGAACACUUCAUUUCAAUCAGGUUCUACGUUCUUUUUCCAAAUCUCCUUUCAUUAUAUAAUUAUGUUUCCGUUUCAUUGUUAAUGGGUAUAUUAUCCUAGUCAAAUUCAGAUUUUUUACAACACAAACUUCAUUAAAUGGAAACGAGCCCUCAUCUAUUUGUGUUUUAGAGGCAAAAAAAAAAAUAGAAGAGUGAAAAAUGAGCAGAAAUGCAAGGGUGAAGAUAGGGUGAAAACUGAAGGAAGAAGAAGCUGAGCUAUCGCAAUGCUACUGGUUCCCUAUGAACUUCCCAAUAUUCAAGUUUAAUUUCCACUCAUUAACUGCAAAAUACAAAAAGAAUAUCUAUUUGCUGCUCAAUUUAAAGGCACUAAGCAAAUACAAAAAGCUCAGACCUGUAGUUAACAAAAUUGCAAAGUGGCUGCCCUUGCCCAAUUUGGGUCAUCUUGGAUCAGGGAUAGUCGAACUUCAUCAACCCCAAAUGUUCAUAUCUUGGAAUGACUAGAUGCGAGAGUUUUUUUUCAUUGACAGGUAGUAAAUUUGAGCAUGAGAACUCAUCCAACAUAGAUCUCCCUUCAGCUAGCCAAAUCUCUAGGAAGGGAUGAUAUUGACAAGGAGAGCAAUCAAAUGAUGAUGGGUUACAGAGACAGCAAACGAAGGGAUGAUAUUGAGGCAGUUCCAGUGUUUCCAAGUUACUUGCUAUGCAAAGUAUUAUCAAUAUGGUGUUCUGAAUCCCUGUUCCCCUUCCGCAAGGCCUCUCUAGGUGCACAUCAGACUGCCUAAUCCAAAUGAAGUUAAACCUGAAGCUAUGUAAACAUUUAAUCUAUCAGUAAGAUUAGUGAUCCUUGUUUGAGUUGUAAACAAACUUUUUACUGGCUAACUUCCCUGUCUGAGAAUUCUUUUCACUUUCAAUAACAAGAUUUAGUUCCCCAAGUGAAAAUCUA